AGAGAAGGGCAUUUAAGGUGGGCGAUCUGUCACCCCAUUGAUGGGCAGCGUUGAUUUGCUGAUCUGACUGGCUAGGCGGGUGUCCCCUUCCUCCCUCACCAUUCCAUGUGCCUCCCUCCCGAAGCUACAUACUUGCUCGGUCAAAGAGGAAGAUCUUCCCUGAAUAGAGGAGGACAGGUCUUCGGCCAAGGUUAUAUGAGUAGCUGCGUUCCCCUGCUAGAACCUCCAAACAGCUCUCAAGACAACAGAUUUCUUAAAACAAUGCUAGAAUAACAGACUGGAAAGACAGCAUCUUCAAGAAAUGCUGCUGCUCAAACUGCAUCUGCAUGUAGAAGAAUCCAAGUAG
ensembl:misc_RNA 7SK 7SK RNA